CCCACUUCUCUUCCCCCUUGGCUGCCGCCCCCCUGCCCAUCUCCUCCUCUCUCAAUUCUUGCAGCCACCAAACCCUAGCCCCCCCUCUCAAUCCCCUCCUCCCAAGGUGUCAAUCCUUGCCGCUCGGAUCAUCGUCGUCGUGGUGCGAGUCUUCAAUCGUUUUGGUGGAGGGAAGAAGGGAGGAAGGAAAGGGGGAGAAUCCAAGGUGAUUUUUGUGUUCAUCCCUUGUUCAUUUGCGCUGCAAUUUAAUUGAUUAGAGGUUGCGUUUGCGAUUGGGGUAGAGGGGGGCUGUCCAGAAUUUUAGGUGGUGGGUGAACAGCAGUAGUCUAGCAGUUUAUGUGUUUUUUUCGUGAGGAAUUAAGGGAAAUCAGUUUGGGGAUCAUGUAGAACUUUACCUUACCUUUCCAACGAGUAUUUAUGCGCUCAAUUUGGAGUUAUAAAUUGAAAGUUAUCACCGUUUGAAUCCGGGUAUGUGGCUGUCCAAAAAACAGAUUUUUCAGGGGGAUGAACAGCAGCAGUAUUAGCAGUUUCUGGGGAUUUUUUGGGAGUAAUUAGUGUUAAUCAGUAUGAGAAUCAUGUAGGGCUUUAUGUUAUCUUUCCAACAAGUACCUAUGCGCUCGAUUCGGAGUUAUAAUUCAGGAGAUAUCAUUGUUUGAAUCCGGUUAUGUUGCUGUCCAAAAAAAACAGAUUUUUCAGGUGGGUGAACAGCAGUGGUAUUAGCAGUUUCUGGGAAUUUUUCGUGGGUAAUUAGUGUUAACCAGUAUGGUAAUCAUGUAGGGAUUUGUCUUAUCUUUCCAAUGAGUACUUAUGCGCUUGAUUUGGAAUUAUAUUUUAAAAGAUAUCGCUGUUUGAAUCUGGGUAUGUCGCUGUCCAAAAGACAAAGAAAAACAGAUUACAGGGUUCAUCUUGUGGACUGUUUUGGGCUAAUUAGAUAUUGAAAUUUUAUUAUAAAUUGUAUACAAAACUUGUGGGUAAUUUUAUGUAGAUGCCUCUGGAGUCUUUGUUUGUUACCACUGCUGUCAUAAUUUUAAAGUUAUGAAAUUAUUAAGCAGCGCCGCUGCAGUUUGGUGGGUGUAGGGAGAGAUGUAACCCGCGGCGGGGUUUGAGUUUGUGCGUAGGUGCGACGUCGCUUAUGAGCCUGAUUAUGUGAAAUUGGUGUACUAAGUUGGGUGUCAAAAACAGGUGGUGGGCUUCCGGAUCGUACUUGGGAUUUGCCCGAACUUCCGGUAAAGGCAAGUAAAUACAGUGGUGGUUGCUACCAUUUGGUUUGUAUCCUAUUCCCUGUCAUUGAGUAUGCAUAAGUUUUAAUUAUGUUAAUCAUUAAAUUCUAUGAUGAAGUUUAUUUGUUUGGAAGUAUUAAUUCUCAAUUGUCUAAUAUUGUGGAUGAUCAUAAUUUGGUAAUGAUAUAUGUGGUCGAUUCCCAUCUGGAUGAAGUUGAAGUGUCUUUUUGAAUCAUGUUAUAUGAAGUGUUGUAGGCAUGACAUGCACAUCGCAUCAUCCAUCUUGCAUUUUGAAGUUAUGUCGUGAUCUUAUGGUCCGACCGUACCGGUACAUUUUUAGCAUCGUACGUUGCCCGAGGAGGGGUACGAUGCGGCUUCAUAUCCUUAGAGGUAUGAAGGCAGAAGUCAUCCUUGCAUUUGCAGACAUUUGCACUCAUGAGGAAUAUAUGAAGUGUAACAUUACUAUGUUACUAUUGUGGUUUCUACCUGCGAGGUGUGGUAACUAGGUGCGUUGUACGUUGUAUACGUGCUGCACCUUCGUAAUAAGAAGGUUGUGGAAUUAAGUGGUGGUAAAACAAUGUUCUUAUGUGGUUAAACUGUUUGAUAUUAUUUUACUUGCUGAGAUGUGUCAUCUCACUCUUGCAUUACUCAAUGCAGGUCCUUGAUACAUGUUGGGAAUGAGGGGAGUAGCAGCACGUCCACUUUCACUCUCACAAUAACGCUGCCCAGGCGCAGCCAUGAUUUAAUUAGAAACUUAUUGUCAGAGGAAGUUUGUUUAUUUUUUUUAUAUGGUCGUGCGCACUGGUUAAUUCAGUUCAGGUCGUAUGUUUAUCUUUCCUUGCUAGCCGAGUAAUAAUACUUCGUAUGUUUUAGUCAUGAUUUAUGUUUAUACUCUGUUGCUCCCUCUUUUAUGCAAUCUUGCAAAGGGGAUGCUGCCGAAAUUUUAUAUAUGGACGUCGGAAGUGUAGUACAGUAGCAUACCGGGUUGUUUGUGGAACCUGGAGUGUUACAGUUGGUUUCAGAGGAUAGGCUUUAGAUUCUACGCAAUUUGAAGAUAAAUUUGACACACUUGCACAUAUAGGAAGGGUAUGGGUUCAUAUAUCUUUCAUAUUAGUAUUUUAUUGUAUAGAUGACUAGAAUUUCCUUACUCCAAACCCGUUUAUAGUUUGAUGAGGUAUGUCGUAACGACGUAAUGCUUGAUAUGAAAUGUUACUUCUAUUUAAUAUUGGUUUCUUGAUGUGGUUGAUAUUGAAAUUAUUAUGCGAGUGAAGCUACUAAUGUACUUGUUUUAUAUACAUAUCGUCAUGAUGUUUUUUUGGGAUGCAAUGUUUACUAAUCUCUGAGCUAUUACCAUCAUAUAUUUCUAUAUGCUUGACUGUGGAUGUUUUUUUUCCCAAAAGGAUUCUUGGGUUCUAGUACUUGUAGGACCGAUUGUUUAUUGAGCUUGUGUAUAGAGGUUCUAAUCCGACUUGGUGUAGUGUGAAAACACUAUACAAUGAAGUUUUAUGGUGUUGUUGAGUUGGAUUGACUGUUGGGUUACAACCCAACUUAUCAAUGUAAUAUUUCCAUGGGUGCAGUGCUUUACACCUCACCUUUUUUUGGCUGGUGUGGCUACUUGCCAACUUGAUCUUAGAGUACAAUAGGUUUGUCUCCAUAGAGCAAAGGCAAUGUUGUACUGUCUAUGAAAUCUUGAGACUAGAAGAACUCAAGUGAAUUUGCAAGAUGACGUGGGUAGAUAAGUCCAACCAUGUUUACAUGAUAGGUUUUCUUAUUGUGUGCAACCUUAUCUUUAAUAAUAAAUAGGGUGAUUUCAAGUGGAUUUUAUGUCUAUAUUAUAGUUGAAGAGGCAUGCAUGUUUUCCUUCUAUGGUUUGUUUCUAUAGCCAAAAAGGUUAUGCAUAAUUUCUAUUUGUUGGAGGCUAGUCAUGCGGACGAUAUGGACAACCCGUUUUAUAUUGUUUUUAAUCGCCGAUGAUACAUGGUAGUUUUUUUAUAUGAUCAGUUCUCUAUGCAUGCUUGUGGAAUUAUUAUUUGGACCGCUUUAUCUUAAACAAAGUCAAUGUUUAACUGGAAGUUGCUUAUGUUUGUUAGUCAUCUAUCUCUAUAAUGAUGUGGUUGUUGCAUUAGAUGGAGAUUUUUAUUAUAUGAAUGAUGGUUUGAUAGAUCAUGUAUGUCUACUACUUUGAAUUCAUCCUAUGACAUCACUAGGUACAAAUUGUUCAAGUGCAAUAAUAGGAGGUAUUGUUGUAUGUGAGGUUAAUCAAAGUAGUUGGGUUAGGUGGAUUAUCUUAUUGAAGUCCAAUUACUCUUGUUGAGCAUAGUAUCAUGUUAUUAUUUUAGUGUUGAAAGUAAUAUUUAUGAAGCUUUUGCAUGAGUCCGUGUCAAGAAGUACAUUAGUUUUUUCUUGUUGUUAUCCCUCCAUUGCUUUAUGAGUAUUGCAAAUUUUAUCUCUUUUGAGAGGGGGAAAAGAUGUUAUAUGACAUGAGCACCAUUUGCUUCACGUCAACAGAAUAGUUUUGGAGAUUUCUAGUAGUUGGAUUCUAGUGUAAUAACAACCAUGUUUUAUAGAGCUGGAGACGGGUAUGUCAGGUGUUUCAUACAUUGUCGGUACAUGGAUGUUUGACCUUAGUGACAUUAACAAACGAGGUUGUUGAAUUCAUUGAUUGUUGUGCUUAGUGUUCUAACCUAUUUGGUAGAGUGUUAUUUAAAGACUUUGUGGAGUUGCAUCCCAGUUUGGUAGUGGAAAAUCCUAGUGUUGAUGGCACCUGCCAAUGACUUGGGUUUCAUUUUAUAUUGUUUUUUUAUUGUUGAUAAUGUGUUGUUUGGUUCCGGGAGGCAUUUUAAAUUAGUUGGAGGCUGAAUCAGGCUCACUUAUCUAGAAUGUUUUGUAGUAUGUUUCUGCAUCUUUCCAUAGGAUGCUUAAUCACCAUGUUUGGUCUAAACAUUUGAGAGAUAUGGGUUUCUUAAAACAUCUUUGUUGGUGUCUCUAGCAGAGUGAGUCUUUAAUUUUGUACGGAAGAGUAGACAUUGAAGACGGUAUAAUUUGGUCUUUGUGGAUUAUGAAAGUUUUAGUAAUUUCAUGAUCUUUUCAAAGAGUAUGGGUUUCUAAUUCUCAUUGCAUAUAAUUGGAGUUAGGUUGCUCUGAAGUUGUUGCACUGUUGUGUCUAAACUUUAGGCGUCGUUAUAAUCACCAAUAAAUCGACCGCGUUUUGAUAGUUGCAGAGCACAAAUUUGCGAAUUCUCUUUAAGCAAAACUUGUAGGUAUUUUCAGUACCUUUUUAAUGGGUAUUUACUUGUAACUGUCUGUUAAAUAGAUUUGGAGAGGUGGUUGCCCGGAUAUAAGUCGAAUUUCUAAUGUGCAGUAUCUCAGGCUGAGUUUAGCUGUAGGUCAUGCAGAGUUGUGGGCUAUAAGGAUAAAUUUGGGUGCAACUUUAUUGCAAAAGUCGUGGACAAUUUUCAAAACUUUUCCAACGCGUGUUCGUUGUAGUUUAAGUUGAGUAUAGCAGGAGUUAUAGGUUUUUGAAUUUUAGUUGUCCAUUGUUUCAAUCUUAUCAGUUUUGAAACAAAAGAGUUGCAUUGUUUUAUCGGUUUGGAAACCAAUUCCGAGACACUCAUUAUAAUAAAAGUUCUAGGGAAUGUUAUAAUCUUUUCAGUGAGUUUAUAUUUGCAAAAUUUUGUUAGCUGCAGGGAGUUAUGAUAUCAUGUAUAGAAUGUGCUUGGAUGAAUAUGUGGGCAGACAUAACAUGCUUAAAUUGAUUCUUGUUUGCAUGAUGUGAGAUUAGGCUUAAAUGAUUUAAAAAGUUAUCAUAUUGCUUCUAUACUUAUAUUUGUUCUAGGUGUCUCGUAAUGAAGAACCUAAAGUUAUUAGUCUUUCAAUGAACGCUUAAUCUUAGAAGAGUAAUGAACCUGAUAAAAUCUAUUGCUUGCUAUUGGGACUGCAUGACCAGUUUUAGUUAUGCAGCUAGUUCAGUGAAGUAAACCAUCUUUUCUGUAGAGAUGUUAUAUAUAAAAGUUGUAGCCAACUUAUUUAUCUUACUUGUGUAAAAAUUUCAUGACCAUAGGUCUAGUAGUUUGGGAGUUAUGAUUUUCUCAAGUCCAGUCUUGAAAUCUGUGCAGAUUCUAUACAGAUUUCGAAGCUGACCUUGUUUGCCCAAUUUAAACUUCGAAUAACUUAUUAUAAAUUAUAAAUAAGUUGUAGUACUUUUCUUAAUCGUUACAACAAAUUUUGGAUUAAUUUUUUUUGGAGAUCUAUAAGUUAAGUUACAGCUGUUUUAAGUGUGAUCUCUGAAUCUGUCCAAAUUUGGACAACAGAGCCUUUCUCGUGUCUUUUGACCUUAAUAUGCAUUGAAUUAACUUGAUAUGUUUAUAAAUGAAUUAUAGACAAUUCUACUAGCUUUCUAAAAAGUCUGGGAGCACCUGAAUUGGAUGAUUGAUACUCCAAUUAUGGAUUUUUGAAUUGAGUAGUUGAAUUAUGUCCAAGUCUGGACAGAAUUUACUUUUAGCACUGUUUGACCUUUCUAAGUGUCAAAUCUUGUUGUGAUGAUAAUACCAAGGGUAUAGUUGACUUUAUAAGUUUUCCAUAAAGUCCUAGUUUACUAAUUUUCGAUGCAUAUUUUUGUGAGUUAGGAGCAAAACAAUUAACCGCUGUGCUGCUAUCUAGAAAUAUGCAAGCAUUAAGUUGCUCUCUUGAAGUUGCUCUUGUGUGGCUAAGUUUGGUUUAGCCUAUAGGAACAUUAUAUGCCUUGCAUUCAUAUAUACAUUCUUUAAAGUACUUGCAUAUGUCAAUGAUUGAUUUGGUGUCAGGAAAGCUUGGUCCGAGGUAUAUAGGACCGUCUGCUAUCUUGGCCGAGUUGGCAGCUGGGCUUAGCACAUGUAAUUGUCGGAAUCUGUGAUCAGAGUACACCAAGUAUUCCAUGUCUUUUUUUUGAGGAAGUAUUUGCGGAAUCCAGACCAUCAAAUCGAGCUAGAGCCGAUUCCUGUGUAGCAAGCGCAGACUCUAGAGUGUCGUCUGCUGUGUAUCUUAGAAUCCUAAGAGCUUGAGGAGCUGAUACGGCAGAAGUACUCGAACUUUUCUUUAUGUGUGAGUUUUGUUGAUUCAUUAACCUUUCUUUUGUUGUUCCGAUAGAAGCGUCAGAAUUCGAGGUCGAAUUAUUUUUAGGAGGGGUAGAGUGUGAUACCCGGUUUGCAAAGAAGAGAAGUUGGGGGUUGUUCUUUUUAUUUUUUUCCUCAUCCGGUUGUUGUUUUGGGGAUUUGGGAUUUUGUGGAAAACAUUCACAACUAGGGCAGUAGAAUUUAUUUGGUUUGAUGCUUGCGUUGCGGUCGGGAGCUGUCGCGUGGGUUAGUUGGGCCGCAAUUGGAGUUUCGGCCCAUUAACCCUCCCAAACCCUAGCCGCCUCCCUCCUAACCCCCUUCCCCCAUGUGCAGCCGCCCCCCACUUCUCUUCCCCCUUGGCUGCCGCCCCCCUGCCCAUCUUCUCCUCUCUCAAUUCUUGCAGCCACCAAACCCUAGCCGCCCCCCUCUCAAUCCCCUCCUCCCAAGGUGCCAAUCCUUGCCGCUCGGAUCAUCGUCGUCGUGGUGCGAGUCUUCAAUCGUUUUGGUGGAGGGAAGAAGGGAGGAAGGAAAGAGGGAGAAUCCAAGGUGAUUUUUGUGUUCAUCCCUUGUUCAUUUGCGCUGCAAUUUAAUUGAUUAGAGGUUGCGUUUGCGAUUGGGGUAGAGGGGGGCUGUCCAGAAUUUUAGGUGGUGGGUGAACAGCAGUAGUCUAGCAGUUUAUGUGUUUUUUUCGUGAGGAAUUAAGGGAAAUCAGUUUGGGGAUCAUGUAGAACUUUACCUUACCUUUCCAACGAGUAUUUAUGCGCUCAAUUUGGAGUUAUAAAUUGAAAGUUAUCACCGUUUGAAUCGGGGUAUGUGGCUGUCCAAAAAAACAGAUUUUUCAGGGGGAUGAACAGCAGCAGUAUUAGCAGUUUCUGGGGAUUUUUCGGGAGUAAUUAGUGUUAAUCAGUAUGAGAAUCAUGUAGGGCUUUAUGUUAUCUUUCCAACAAGUACCUAUGCGCUCGAUUCAGAGUUAUAAUUCAGGAGAUAUCAUUGUUUGAAUCCGGUUAUGUUGCUGUCCAAAAAAACAGAUUUUUCAGGUGGGUGAACAGCAGUGGUAUUAGCAGUUUCUGGGAAUUUUUCGUGGGUAAUUAGUGUUAACCAGUAUGGUAAUCAUGUAGGGAUUUGUCUUAUCUUUCCAAUGAGUACUUAUGCGCUUGAUUUGGAAUUAUAUUUUAAAAGAUAUCGCUGUUUGAAUCUGGGUAUGUCGCUGUCCAAAAGACAAAGAAAAACAGAUUACAUGGUUCAUCUUGUGGACUGUUUUGGGCUAAUUAGAUAUUGAAAUUUUAUUAUAAAUUGUAUACAAAACUUGUGGGGAAUUUUAUGUAGAUGCCUCUGGAGUCUUUGUUUGUUACCACUGCUGUCAUAAUUUUAAAGUUAUGAAAUUAUUAAGCAGCGCCGCUGCAGUUUGGUGGGUGUAGGGAGAGAUGUAACCCGCGGCGGGGUUUGAGUUUGUGCGUAGGUGCGACGUCGCUUAUGAGCCUGAUUAUGUGAAAUUGGUGUACUAAGUUGGGUGUCAAAAACAGGUGGUGGGCUUCCGGAUCGUACUUGGGAUUUGCCCGAACUUCCGGUAAAGGCAAGUAAAUACAGUGGUGGUUGCUACCAUUUGGUUUGCAUCCUAUUCCCUGUCAUUGAGUAUGCAUAAGUUUUAAUUAUGUUAAUCAUUGAAUUCUAUGAUGAAGUUUAUUUGUUUGGAAGUAUUAAUUCUCAAUUGUCUAAUAUUGUGGGUGAUCAUAAUUUGGUAAUGAUAUAUGUGGUCGAUUCCCAUCUGGAUGAAGUUGAAGUGUCUUUUUGAAUCAUGUUAUAUGAAGUGUUGUAGGCAUGACAUGCACAUCGCAUCAUCCAUCUUGCAUUUUGAAGUUAUGUCGUGAUCUUAUGGUCCGACCGUACCGGUACAUUUUUAGCAUCGUAUGUUGCCCGAGGAGGGGUACGAUGCGGCUUCAUAUCCUUAGAGGUAUGAAGGCAGAAGUCAUCCUUGCAUUUGCAGACAUUUGCACUCAUGAGGAAUAUAUGAAGUGUGACAUUACUAUGUUACUAUUGUGGUUUCUACCUGCGAGGUGUGGUAACUAGGUGCGUUGUACGUUGUAUACGUGCUGCACCUUCGUAAUAAGAAGGUUGUGGAAUUAAGUGGUGGUAAAACAAUGUUCUUAUGUGGUUAAACUGUUUGAUAUUAUUUUACUUGCUGAGAUGUGUCAUCUCACUCUUGCAUUACUCAAUGCAGGUCCUUGAUACAUGUUGGGAAUGAGGGGAGUAGCAGCACGUCCACUUUCACUCUCACAAUAACGCUGCCCAGGCGCAGCCAUGAUUUAAUUAGAAACUUAUUGUCAGAGGAAGUUUGUUUAUUUUUUUAUAUGGUCGUGCGCACUGGUUAAUUCAGUUCAGGUCGUAUGUUUAUCUUUCCUUGCUAGCCGAGUAAUAAUACUUAGUAUGUUUUAGUCAUGAUAUAUGUUUAUACUCUGUUGCUCCCUCUUUUAUGCAAUCUUGCAAAGGGGAUGCUGCCGAAAUUUUAUAUAUGGACGUCGGAAGUGUAGUACAGUAGCAUACCGGGUUGUUUGUGGAACCUGGAGUGUUACACCACAUGCCUCGAUCCCCGCACCCACAUAACAGAGUUAACGUGAUGUGUUGGUUGUGGGUGAAGGAAACAUAUGAUGCCUAAGAGGGGGGAGUGGAUUAGAACUUCUAAAACUUUCACUAAACAAGGCCACAAUUAAAUCCCUAGAGC
rnacentral:lncRNA from 1 species